AGUGAACGCUGGCGGUAGGCCUAACACAUGCAAGUCGAACGGCAGCACAGUAAGAGCUUGCUCUUACGGGUGGCGAGUGGCGGACGGGUGAGGAAUACAUCGGAAUCUACUUUUUCGUGGGGGAUAACGUGGGGAAACUUACGCUAAUACCGCAUACGACCUACGGGUGAAAGCAGGGGAUCUUCUGACCUUGCGCGAUUGAAUGAGCCGAUGUCGGAUUAGCUAGUUGGCGGGGUAAAGGCCCACCAAGGCGACGAUCCGUAGCUGGUCUGAGAGGAUGAUCAGCCACACUGGAACUGAGACACGGUCCAGACUCCUACGGGAGGCAGCAGUGGGGAAUAUUGGACAAUGGGCGCAAGCCUGAUCCAGCCAGACCGCGUGGGUGAAGAAGGCCUUCGGGUUGUAAAGCCCUUUUGUUGGGAAAGAAAAGCAGCAGGUUAAUACCCCGCUGUUCUGACGGUACCCAAAGAAUAAGCACCGGCUAACUUCGUG
rnacentral:rRNA from 1 species